rnacentral:lncRNA from 1 species
UCAUUUUUAUUAGUUUGAGUGCGUUUAGUUUUCAUAGCUUUUUGUGAUUUGAAAUUUCUUAAUGGAUUGUGCUAAAUAAAAUUGGAAAGUAGAUGUAAGAUAUCUUUACAGUGUCACACAGACAUGCGGACACUUACAUAUACCUACGUACAUAUACAAAUACAUGUGUCUUUCCAUGGUUGUUGUUGAUUUCCGUUUUUCUCUCUGUAGUGCCUCAAUGGUCCCAGUGAUGUAGGCUCAACUCCAGCUCCCUGUGUUUGUCCUCCGGGAAAACCAGGACUGCAAGGCCCCAAAGGUGAACCUGGACAGCCUGGGAACCCUGGCUACCCUGGACAAUCUGGUCAAGAUGGUAAGCCUGGAUAUCAGGGAAUUACAGGAUCACCAGGUGUCCCAGGAUCUCCGGGAAUACAAGGAGUUCCAGGACUACCAGGUUACAAAGGAGAACCAGGGAGAGAUGGUGAAAAGGGUGACCGUGGACUUCCUG